CCAAGGCGUUUGAGAGAACCGUGGUUAAGGAACUAGGCAAAUUGACACCGUAACUUCGGGAUAAGGUGUGCCUCCGAUGUGGAGCAGAACAUGCCGAGCCAGAAGAGGUCGCAGAGAAUAGGGGGUAGCGACUGUUCACCAAAAACACAGGACUGUGCGAAGUCACGAAGGCGACGUAUACGGUCUGACGCCUGCCCGGUGCUGGAAGGUUAAGAGGAGAGGUUAGACGCAAGUCGAAGCUUUGAAUCGAAGCCCCAGUAAACGGCGGCCGUAACUAUAACGGUCCUAAGGUAGCGAAAUUCCUUGUCGGGUAAGUUCCGACCUGCACGAAUGGCGUAACGACUUCCCCGCUGUCUCAACCAUGGACUCAGUGAAAUUGAAUUCUCGGUGAAGAUGCCGAGUACCCGCGGCAAGGCGGAAAGACCCCGUGAACCUUUACUAUAACUUGACAGUGGUAUUCGCGUGGAUCUGUGUAGGAUAGGUGGGAGACUUCGAAGCGGGUGCGCCAGCAUCCGUGGAGUCAUCGUUGAAAUACCACCCUGGUCCUCCUGGAUGCCUAACGUGGGCGGCUGAAGCGCCGUCACGGACACUGUCUGGUGGGUAGUUUGACUGGGGCGGUCGCCUCCCAAAAAGUAACGGAGGCGCACAAAGGUUCCCUCAGCCUGAUUGGAAACCAGGCGAAGAGUGCAAAGGCAGAAGGGAGCUUGACUGCGAGACCUACAAGUCGAGCAGGUGCGAAAGCAGGUCUUAGUGAUCCGGUGGUUCUGCGUGGAAGGGCCAUCGCUUAACGGAUAAAAGGUACUCCGGGGAUAACAGGCUUAUCUCCCCCAAGAGUUCACAUCGACGGGGAGGUUUGGCACCUCGAUGUCGGCUCAUCGCAUCCUGGGGCUGGAGCAGGUCCCAAGGGUUUGGCUGUUCGCCAAUUAAAGCGGUACGCGAGCUGGGUACAGAACGUCGUGAGACAGUUCGGUCCCUAUCUGCCGUGGGCGCAGGAGUUUUGAGAGGAGCUGUCCCUAGUACGAGAGGACCGGGAUGGACUGACCUCUGGUGCACCAGUUGUCACGCCAGUGGCAUAGCUGGGUAGCUAAGUCGGGACGGGAUAACCGCUGAAAGCAUCUAAGCGGGAAGCCCACCUCAAGAUAAGAACUCCCAGGGGUAACCCUCUGAAGGCCCGUCGUAGACUACGACGUUGAUAGGCUGGGUGUGUAAGCGUCGGAAAAGGCGUUGAGCUAACCAGUACUAAUAGGCCGUGUGGCUUGACUU
rnacentral:rRNA from 1 species